GCCAUUUGUUUAGAACCACAUUUCCCUGUCCUUACUUGGGCUCUCAACCAUCCCACUCUACCCAACCUUUACCCUGCCCCUAACUUUCUCCCAGCUCCAAGAUGGCAUCCUUCCCCCUAUCUUGUUACUUUCCGCACAGCCCUGUUUCCAACUGAAACCACAGGGCUGCUGAGUUCUGUGUGGAGCCCACAGGAGCCGGGAGAUCACAGCUGUCACUAGGAUCCGAUGCUUCCCUAAGUGUGUUCUCUCCUAGACCCUUCCCCUAAGGCUGUUCCUAGGAGGCAGCUAUGAAACUGAAAACCCCAUACAUUAGAGAGACUUCCACUCUCCAGAAGGGACAGAAGGCCGAGCAGGGAGCUAGCCCACUGCGAAAAGGGGCUCUGCCUUAAAGCUUCCACAGCAACAACCCCUAAUGACUUUGUUCCUUAAGCAGCAGGACCAGGGGCAGAGCCUGCUGUUGCAAGCGAUUAGAUGAGGGUCUGGACCUCAUCGAAGGACUUUUCCACUUGAAAAGCUACAGAAACUUUAGAAGGUCUGAAGAGCUCCCCACCUGCUUCUUCUUCAUGACCUUGAGGAUUUUCUUGUCUGACCGCUCUUUGGCUGUCAUCAGGCACUUGGUGACAUCAGCUGUCCACUGGAUCUGACUCGCCGUGAUCACCAUCUGAGGGUUUCUCUGUGUAGCCCUGGCUGUCCUGGAACUGGCUCUGUAGACCAGGCUGGACUAAGACAAUUUGAUUCUGAGACCUUGGCCACCACUCACCUCCACA
rnacentral:sRNA from 1 species